GUGCCAGCCGCCGCGGUAAUACGAAGGGUGCGAGCGUUAUUCGGAAUGACUGGGUGUAAAGAGCUUGAAGGCGGUUUGAUAAGUCAGCUGUUAAAGAACUCAGCUUAACUGAGUGCCUGCGGUUGAAACUGUCGAGCUAGAGUACAGGAGAGAAGAGUGGAAUUCUCGGAGUAGCGGUAAAAUGCGUAGAUCUCGAGAGGAACACCGGUUGCGAAGGCGGCUCUUUGGCCUGUUACUGACGCUGUAGAGCGAAAGCGUGGGGAGCAAACAGGAUUAGAUACCCUCGUAGUCC
rnacentral:rRNA from 1 species